CGAGAUGGCCAAGACAAUCGCCGCUAUAUCGUUGUACUUUAGCCUUCGGGUUUUAGUAGACGGAUGUGGGGGAGGAAAGUCCGGGCUCCAUACGGACAGGUUGCCAGAUAACUUCUGGGGGGCGUGAGCCUACAACUAGUGCAGCAGAGAGUAUACCGCCGAUGGCCUUUUCUUGUAAAAGUGCACAGGUAAGGGUGAAAGGGUGCGGUAAGAGCGCACCGCGCGACUAGUAAUAGUUCGUGGCACGGUAAACUUCAGCCGGAGCAAUUUCAAAUAGGGUUCCUCGAUCCUUAGAGGUCAACGCGUGGUCCGCGCGGGAACCGGGUAGAAAGCUUGAGCCUUAGAGCGAUUUAAGGCCUAGACGAAUGAUUGUCCUAGACAAAACCCGGCUUAACGGCCAUCUCGCAAU
rnacentral:RNase_P_RNA from 1 species